AAGUCGUAACAAGGUUUCCGUAGGUGAACCUGCGGAAGGAUCAUUAACGAGUUUUUGAAACGGGUUGUAGCUGGCCUUCCUUUAAAUCGGAAGGCAUGUGCUCGCCCUGCUCAUUCCACUCUACACCUGUGCACUUACUGUGGGUUCUUGCUUCUUUGCUUUCUUUCUUUCUCGUCCUUGCGGAUGGGGGUGGAAAAUGCUUCGGGGCUGGACCUACGUUUUAUUACAAACCCUUAUAAGUAACAAGAAUGUUUAUCAUGCUUUAACGCAUUUAUAUACAACUUUCAGCAACUGAUCUCUUGGCUCUC
rnacentral:misc_RNA from 1 species